GAAAUUAAUAAACUCUUAAACUGAUUUAUAUCAAAGCAACGGGCAUAUUUCAAGCACUGUUUGUUUCCUAAUACUGGAAAAUGAGAAACAUUCCUGUUGUUUUAGUUCCUCUGUGUAUUGGACUUACUUCCGGAUUUAUUAUUCCCACUGGCUUACACGAGACAUUGUUUAAUAAGACUGACAUUUUUAUUUUCAACUGUAACAAAAUUAAAAAAAGAGAAGUUAAUUCACAAAAUGUAACGUAUAUUAAAUCAAACAC
rnacentral:misc_RNA from 1 species